GUCCUCGACAUUGAGAAACACCCCUUCACCAAGAGUGCCAUGCUAGGACUGAUUUAGGUACGAAAGCUUUUAUGUGCGCAGCUCCUCUAGCUUGGAACACUCUGCAAAAAUAACUGAAACUGAGCAUCUUGGUUCCCCUGCAUCGGUUUGAAGCUCGGCUAGAUGCAAUGCAAUUUCAUACUCUUGGUACCUGUCAGUGUCGAUAGCAGCUCUAGCCCUGCUGCACCAGUCUGCGGUAGUGGGGCAUGACUUUGCUCUCGGGGAGAUACAGGCCCAUCUCCAGAGCCACGA